GGUAAUAGCUCAGUGGUAGAGCACAUGCUUAGCAUGCACAAGGUCCUGGGUUCAAUCCCCAGUACUUCCA
rnacentral:tRNA from 1 species